UUUAUUAUAUUUGAGAGAAGGCAGACAUCUCUACGACCGAUAUCUCCAACACUGAGAAACUCACACCAAAACAAUCUAGAUUGAUAAAUAGCACUACAGGUAAUA